rnacentral:lncRNA from 1 species
CAUGCCAGGCCAGUACCCUCCAACCCUGCUCAGUGGGCAGGGCUGGGACCCCACUUAACUUUAAGACUCACACCCAGGAAGUCCCUAAACCCGGGCCCAGGUUCCACCUGGGGGGCAGGGAGGCAGCACAAGGCCUGCAGUGGCUGCCACUCACCCUUCCAGGGUCCAGCGCCCCUGCUCCUGGGCAGGGCAUUCAUAUCCGUGUCCAGGGGCUCUCGUGAGCUAGUCUGGGGGUCUGCCGGGCACCCUGGCUUCUGAACCUCCAUGUCCAGCUUCCUACGAGAGGCCCCGGCCUUCCCCCUCACUCCCAGGGAGGGUCUGCCCAAGGGGCCACAGCAGGACUGGGCUCGACAGGGAAGAGGGUGACAUCUCCCUGGGGGGGGGGGGACCUACCCUCGCUGCCUCCAGAGAGAGAAAGGAGAGCUCUUAGGGAUCCUGUGGGCUGGGGUGGGGGGGUCCAUGGAGCUCCCCUGCAGCCACGUGAGGAUGAGGCCGGGCAUGGCCAGGCUGGGGUCGGUCCUGUGUGGCGCUGGGAGCCGAAGUGCACUGCUGAGGGCUACUGAGAACCACGCCUCAAGGGCUGCCAGCCAAGGGUGCGGUGUGAGCCACAAACUCCCACAUUGGAGGAGGCGAGGAGGUGGAGAAGAACAGGAAAGAAAGAAUAGAACCCUCUUUCCCAUCUGGUGAGAUCUGUGCCAAAGCCCAGCCAAUGAAAACCAGAAGUGCAAACCAGCUCCGACGGAGGAGGGGGGCCCUCAGCAGGCGUUCACCCCAGUUCCACAGCUCCAGCUGUCCGAGGGGUUCCGGAAUGCUCCCAGGGCCUCUGUGGCACCCUGAGUCCUGAGGGCUAACACCAGCACCUCCUGUGUCUCUAGCCCCUCCUGACAGCCAAGCUUCUCAGCCUUUUUUUCCUCCUUCCUCGGUCCCAGGCUGCUGCACCUAGGCCUGGCACUCUUACCAAACCCCAGGGACUGCCCAGGGCCAUCACACUCCUUUUGGGAACUCCUUCUCCUAGACAGGAUUGCCCUGUCCAGUCUGUUAGGGUCGCCCAGACUUCUGGGCUGGCUCCUUCUGCCCCUCCCCCACUUCUGCGCUGGGGCCUUUACAAAAAUGUCCCCCACCCAGUCCACACCACGUAGGCCCAGGACUUCCUCCUCUCAAAUCACCUACCCCCAGUCCUGUGCUGGAGUUCAGCUCCAGCAGGUCCAGGGGUUCCAGAAGGAUGAACAGCAUUGGGGAAAAUAACAAUGGACACAGACAACAACAGUGUGUUAGACUGGCUGCUUUAUUGUGGCAAAUGUGGCAUUAUAUUUGUUAGCAGUUUCCUUGUAGCAUGCGUCAUCUACAUCUAUGUUUCUCGGCAUUACCUAAUUCUAAAAACGUUCCUUUGUGUAAUCACCCAUUAAGGAACAAUAUAGUUAUUUUCUUGUAACGUUCCCUCCUGCCCUUUUGC